rnacentral:rRNA from 1 species
UUAUCGAAUAAAAUUCUGGGUGGAAUUAUGAUAAUGACAUUCUGCCUAUACUUGACCAAACUACGUGCCAGCAGUCGCGGUAAUACGUUACAGAUAAGUGUUAUUCAUCUUUAUUGGGUUUAAAGGGUACCUAGACGGUAAAUUAAGCCGUACUAAUUUACUAGAGUUUAAUGUGAUGGGGAUGUACUGCAGGUGGAGAAAUGAAAUUCUAUUAUACUGGCACAGCCAGAGGCGAAAGCAUCUCUUUAUGUAUUAACUGACGUUGA